AACGAACGCUGGCGGCAUGCCUAACACAUGCAAGUCGAACGAGCCCUUCGGGUCUAGUGGCGCACGGGUGCGUAACGCGUGGGAACCUGCCCUUAGGUUCGGAAUAACUCACCGAAAGGGGUGCUAAUACCGGAUAAUGUCUUCGGACCAAAGAUUUAUCGCCUUUGGAUGGGCCCGCGUUGGAUUAGCUAGUUGGUAGGGUAAAAGCCUACCAAGGCGACGAUCCAUAGCUGGUCUGAGAGGAUGAUCAGCCACACUGGGACUGAGACACGGCCCAGACUCCUACGGGAGGCAGCAGUGGGGAAUAUUGGACAAUGGGCGAAAGCCUGAUCCAGCAAUGCCGCGUGAGUGAUGAAGGCCUUAGGGUUGUAAAGCUCUUUUACCCGGGAUGAUAAUGACAGUACCGGGAGAAUAAGCUCCGGCUAACUCCGUG
rnacentral:rRNA from 1 species